AGUGAACGCUGGCAGUAGGCCUAACACAUGCAAGUCGAACGGCAGCACAGGAGAGCUUGCUCUCUGGGUGGCGAGUGGCGGACGGGUGAGGAAUACAUCGGAAUCUACUCUGUCGUGGGGGAUAACGUAGGGAAACUUACGCUAAUACCGCAUACGACCUACGGGUGAAAGCAGGGGACCUUCGGGCCUUGCGCGAUUGAAUGAGCCGAUGUAGGAUUAGCUAGUUGGCGGGGUAAAGGCCCACCAAGGCGACGAUCCGUAGCUGGUCUGAGAGGAUGAUCAGCCACACUGGAACUGAGACACGGUCCAGACUCCUACGGGAGGCAGCAGUGGGGAAUAUUGGACAAUGGGCGCAAGCCUGAUCCAGCCAUACCGCGUGGGUGAAGAAGGCCUUCGGGUUGUAAAGCCCUUUUGUUGGGAAAGAAAUCCAGCUGGCUAAUACCCGGUUGGGAUGACGGUACCCAAAGAAUAAGCACCGGCUAACAUCGUGCCAGCAGCCGCCGUAA
rnacentral:rRNA from 1 species